rnacentral:rRNA from 1 species
CCUUCGGGUUGUAAAGCACUUUAGGUGGGGAAGAAGUUAAAGCGUUGAAUAGACGUUUUGAUUGACGGUACCCGCAGAAUAAGCACCGGCUAACUCUGUGC